rnacentral:rRNA from 1 species
UACGGGGGGGGCAAGCGUUGUUCGGAAUUACUGGGCGUAAAGGGCUCGUAGGUGGCCAACUAAGUCAGACGUGAAAUCCCUCGGCUUAACCGGGGAACUGCGUCUGAUACUGGAUGGCUUGAGUUUGGGAGAGGGACGCGGAAUUCCAGGUGUAGCGGUGAAAUGCGUAGAUAUCUGGAGGAACACCGGUGGCGAAGGCGGCGUCCUGGACCGACAUUGACGCUGAGGAGCGAAAGCCAGGGGAGCAAACGGG